AGGAAUAGCAAGCAACUGCGAUUGCUUCAGUAAUGGCGAAUGAACUGGCAACACACAGGCUCAGCCUGAAUGGAAUCCAGCUGCACCAGCGUGUGCACUCGGCUCUUGUGUGAUUCAGCAGAUGCUGUGGGUUGAUGGAGUGGGUGGCGAGUCUGGUCAGGCCAUGCACCAAGAAUGUCCCUGGAAUGGGCAACGACACAAGGAUACUGUCCUGUAUGGUGCUGUGUGACGUGGCUUGGCUUGGCUAUGCUGCCUACAUCCAAGAGUAGAGUUGCUUGGGACUGCAGUUUGAAGAGCGUGGUGUAUCCUACGCAAGGCAGAAUACUGACAUGGAACCGAUAGCGCACAAGUAGAGUGAUUGAAGGAUGCAAAGCACCUUGCAAAGGGGGUUCAACGUCCCUGAAGCCUCAGCAGGAACGGCGGAGAGUGGUGUUGUGGCUUUCUGGUCGCUAUCAGGCAACCAGUCCAGUUGUGGUUCUGGCCCAGCGCCAACCCACUGGCUGGCUCGUCCUGAGACCAGGGUCCUCAGGGACCAAAUGUUGGAAUCCAAGCAACCCUGGGCUGGCCCAGAGCUGGCUACUGAGCUCCAUCCAAGAUGUUGGAAUGCAUAUCGUGGCAGUUCGUGGUGACACUCAGCUUCCCUGAGCCCGAGGGUGACAGAUCAGAGAUAUCACACCGAGUCGCAAGGCAGUUCUCCAAGAGGAGACAGUUGUGAAGAGCUAUGCCAAACCUGCUUCGUCUUCGGACGUUGCAGUGCACUGGGCCUUGAUAUGUUGAAGCUAUGCCAUGCUGCCUGUUGGCUGCAUCGUCUUGACGAUGGCUCACUGGUGGUGGAAGCUUUGCAGAGAGCGUUCAGUGCAGAAGGCAGCUGAGCUUGGUCUCAGGACCACUCUCUGCCCGUCUUGAAACACGGACCAAGGAGUCUAUGGAGCAAGCAUAUCUGAUGGUGUUAUCAGCAAAACCACUUGAUGUGGUGAAGGCAACAAACCCAGAUGGUGCAACUGUUGUUGUGUGAGACAGGGAGCAGUCGGCAAGGCCUCUGGCCACGCUGCAUCUGGCAUUGGCAUGUGGAACUCUGUGCUGGAGCCAGAACUCCCCGAGACAAAACUCAGUGUGAUGCUGCAUGGGACACCAGUCCCGAAGUCCAUUGGACAGGGUUCUGAGUGAAUGCAUGGUCCAUGGGACCCGAAAGGUGGUGAACUAUACCGUGCCAUGGCGAAGCUGUGGGAAACUGCAGUGGAAGCCAGAAGCUGUUCUGACGUGCAAAUUGUGUAGCCUGAGCGCGGCAUAGGGGUGAAAGGCCAAUCGAGCCACCUAGUAGC
rnacentral:rRNA from 1 species